AGAGAAGUAAGAAGAAGAAAGAAAAAAAAAAAGAGAAAAAGAAGGAAUUCUUGAAGGUGAAGAAGCAGCUUACGACGGGGAGGGUUAUUCCGAAGACAAUCAAGAUGAAGUUUUAGAGCCGUGGUUCACUUGAAAAAUUUGAACUAGUAGUUUGUUUUUUUGUUUUCUCUCUCUUUUUACCUUUUGGUUUGACAGUGUUUUGUAAACCUCUAGUGGAACUCAAAUCAGUUAUCUAUGUUAUAACUCUA